rnacentral:rRNA from 1 species
UACGUAGGGGGCAAGCGUUGUCCGGAUUCAUUGGGCGUAAAGAGCUCGUAGGCGGUUCAGCAAGUCGGGUGUGAAACCUCCAGGCUCAACCUGGAGACGCCACCCGAUACUGCUGUGCCUUGAGUCCGGUAGGGGACCACGGAAUUCCUGGUGUAGCGGUGAAAUGCGCAGAUAUCAGGAGGAACACCGGUGGCGAAGGCGGUGGUCUGGGCCGGAACUGACGCUGAGGAGCGAAAGCGUGGGGAGCGAACAGG